rnacentral:tRNA from 1 species
AAAAAUUUAUUUCACCAAAAAAAAAAAAUUCCCAAUUUUUUUUUUGGGGGGAAAAAAAUUUUCU